GGGGGAUUAGUGGCGAACGGGUGAGUAACACGUGAGUAACCUGCCCUUAACUCUGGGAUAAGCCUGGGAAACUGGGUCUAAUACCGGAUAUGACUCCUCAUCGCAUGGUGGGGGGUGGAAAGCUUUUUUGUGGUUUUGGAUGGACUCGCGGCCUAUCAGCUUGUUGGUGAGGUAAUGGCUCACCAAGGCGACGACGGGUAGCCGGCCUGAGAGGGUGACCGGCCACACUGGGACUGAGACACGGCCCAGACUCCUACGGGAGGCAGCAGUGGGGAAUAUUGCACAAUGGGCGAAAGCCUGAUGCAGCGACGCCGCGUGAGGGAUGACGGCCUUCGGGUUGUAAACCUCUUUCAGUAGGGAAGAAGCGAAAGUGACGGUACCUGCAGAAGAAGCGCCGGCUAACUACGUGCCAGCAGCCGCGGUAAUACGUAGGGCGCAAGCGUUAUCCGGAAUUAUUGGGCGUAAAGAGCUCGUAGGCGGUUUGUCGCGUCUGCCGUGAAAGUCCGGGGCUCAACUCCGGAUCUGCGGUGGGUACGGGCAGACUAGAGUGAUGUAGGGGAGACUGGAAUUCCUGGUGUAGCGGUGAAAUGCGCAGAUAUCANGAGGAACACCGAUGGCGAAGGCAGGUCUCUGGGCAUUAACUGACGCUGAGGAGCGAAAGCAUGGGGAGCGAACAGGAUUAGAUACCCUGGUAGUCCAUGCC
rnacentral:rRNA from 1 species